GCCCUCACUCACGCAAACGCAUACACACUAUUCCUCAGAACCCAUUCUUACUCGCAGCUUGUGGACACGGAGGCGGAAGGCGGUGCUGUGCGAGCUGCUGAUACUGGAUAGGAUCCGUCACUCUCUCCCUCUGUUCAUUGUUGUUCUAAGCUUGCCUGCUGUCUUUGUCUUUCAUUUGGACACCACCGGCGCUUAACUGGCUCCACUCGUUGCACAUAUUGCGACAUGUAAGCACACACAUGUAUACCGCGCCGCUGGCUGGGUGACGGAGGCGCCGCACACUCGCACAGGGGCGACAGCGGGCCUCUCCAGGUGCCAGUAUGACGGUCACUGCUAUCGCGAAACCCUCGACACGUCCAAGAAUACACCCAUCCCGAAUAGCACCCAACGUAUCCCGCGCCUCAGUGGACGCGGUGAGAUCUGGGCAUUCGCGGUUGCCGGCGCCUCUGAGCAUACCGCGCGACUCAGCCGCAUCUUUCAUGACUGUUGUCACGGUUGCGCACUCGUUGUAGCACGCGAUUUCCAUCUCGUCAUCCUCGUCGACGCGCUGUCUGCUCUCUCUGCCCACUCUUUCGCUAUGCGCAUCUCUAUCUCGUGCCUCGGGUACGUCAUCCGCUCUCCUUAUCUCUCUCUAUCUGUCCUUCCAAUCCUCUGGCUCUCGCCCCACGAUCCCACCCCUCGUGAUGCACUGGACCACGCGGCACCACCUGCUCGCAACAACAACGGCACACGAAACACAAACACAUCCACGCCGAACUUAUGGGCAUAAACCCCUGGCGCACACUCGUGCCACUCGCGCAG
rnacentral:misc_RNA from 1 species